AUGCAAAUCAAAACUACAAUAAGGUACCAUCUCACACUGGUCAGAUGGCCGUCAUUAAAUAGUCCACAAACAAUAAAUGCUGGAGAGCGUGUGGAGAAAAGGGAACCCUCCUACACUGUUAGUGGGAAUGUAGUUUGGUGCAGCUAUUAUGGAAAACAGUACGGAAACUCC